rnacentral:rRNA from 1 species
ACAACGCUGGCGGCAGGCUACACCCUGCAGUCUCAGCGCGCCUUCGGGCGAGCGGCGGACGGGUUAGUAACGCGUGGGAACGUGCCCAGAUCUACGGAAUAGCCACUGGAAACGGUGAGUAAUACCGUAUACGCCCUUAGGGGGAAAGAUUUAUCGGAUUUGGAUCGGCCCGCGUUAGAUUAGGUAGUUGGUGGGGUAACAGCCUACCAAGCCUACGAUCUAUAGCUGGUUUUAGAGGAUGAUCAGCAACACUGGGACUGAGACACGGCCCAGACUCCUACGGGAGUGCAGCAGUGGGGAAUCUUGGACAAUGGGGGCAACCCUGAUCCAGCCAUGCCGCGUGAGUGAAGAAGGCCCUAGGGUCGUAAAACUCUUUCGCCUGUGAUGAUAAUGACAGUAGCAGGUAAAGAAACCCCGGCUAACUCCGUGCCAGCAGCCGCGGUAAUACGGAGGGGGUUAGCGUUGUUCGGAAUUACUGGGCGUAAAGCGCACGUAGGCGGAUUAGAAAGUUAGAGGUGAAAUCCCGGGGCUCAACCCCGGAACUGCCUUUAAAACUACUAGUCUACGAGUUCGAGAGAGGUGAGUGGAAUUCCGAGUGUAGAGGUGAAAUUCGUACAUAUUCGGAGGAAACACCAGUGGCGAAGGCGGUCACUGGCUCGAUACUGACGGCUGAGGUGCGAAAG